rnacentral:ncRNA from 1 species
GGAAUAAGAGGGCAAAUUUAGCGAAAGCUAAAGACGCAAAGCUAUGGGUCUAAGGAUAUCUAAGAAUAUUUAUGAUUGCCAAGUUGCUGAU